GUGUUCACUCUGGCAGCACAUAUACCAAAAUUGGGUUACUAUGAAAAUUAGCAUGUCCCUGCACAAGGAAGACACACUAUUUCAGGAAGCAUUCCAUAGUAUU
ensembl:snRNA U6 U6 spliceosomal RNA